rnacentral:rRNA from 1 species
GACGAACGCUGGCGGUGUGCUUCACACAUGCAAGUCGAACGAGGUAGCAAUACCUAGUGGCGGACGGGUGAGUAACGCGCGGGAAUCUGCCCAAGGGUGGGGGAUAACUAGCCGAAAGGUUAGCUAAUACCGCAUAUGCCGUGAGGUAACAGGAGUAAUCCGCCCCUGGAUGAGCCUGCGUAUGAUUAGCUAGGUGGUGGGGUAAAGGCCUACCAAGGCUAAGAUCAGUAGCUGGUUUGAGAGGACGAUCAGCCACAAUGGGACGGAGACACGGCCCAUACUCCUACGGGAGGCAGCAGUGGGGAAUUUUACGCAAUGGGCGAAAGCCUGACGUAGCGACACCGCGUGAGCGAAGAAGCCCUUUGGGGUGUAAAGCUCUGUUAGCAGGAACGAAUAAAUGACGGUACCUGCAGAGGAAGCAUCGGCUAACUACGUGCCAGCCGCCGCGGUAA